rnacentral:rRNA from 1 species
AGCAGCCGCGGUAAUUCCAGCUCCAAUAGCGUAUAUUAAAGUUGUUGCAGUUAAAAAGCUCGUAGUUGAAUUUCGGGAUUGACACAUCGGUCGUGCCUUAAGGGGUAUGAACUGGUGUAGUCAAUUUCUCACCUUCUGGAGAACCGCGAUGUCCUUAAUUGGGUGCCGCGAGGAACCAGGACCUUUACUUUGAAAAAAUUAGAGUGUUUAAAGCAGGCAUUUUUGCUUGAAUACAUUAGCAUGGAAUAAUAAAAUAGGACGGCAUGAUUCUAUUUUGUUGGUUUCUAGGAUCACCGUAAUGAUUAAUAGGGAUAGUUGGGGGCAUUAGUAUUCAAUUGUCAGAGGUGAAAUUCUUGGAUUUAUUGAAGACUAACUACUGCGAAAGCAUUUGCCAAGGAUGUUUUCAUUAAUCAAGAACGAAAGUUAGGGGAUCGAAGACGAUCAGAUACCGUCGUAGUCUUAACCAUAAACUAUGCCGACUAGGGAUCGGAUGAUGUUAAUUUUUUAAUGACUCAUUCGG